AGAGUUUGAUCCUGGCUCAGGAUGGACGCUGGCGGUCUGCUUAACACAUGCAAGUCGAACGGGCUCUUCGGAGCUAGUGGCGGACGGGUGAGUAACGCGUGAGAAUCUGCCUCCAGGACGGGGACAACAGAGGGAAACUUCUGCUAAUCCCGGAUGAGCCGCAAGGUGAAACGAUUUAUCGCCUGGAGAUGAGCUCGCGUCUGAUUAGCUAGUUGGGGGGGUAAAAGCCCACCAAGGCGACGAUCAGUAGCUGGUCUGAGAGGACGAUCAGCCACACUGGGACUGAGACACGGCCCGAACUCCUACGGGAGGCAGCAGUGGGGAAUAUUGGACAAUGGGGGCAACCCUGAUCCAGCCAUGCCGCGUGUGUGAAGAAGGCCCUCGGGUUGUAAAGCACUUUCAGCGAGGAAGAACGCCUGGCGGUUAAUACCCGCUAGGAAAGACAUCACUCGCAGAAGAAGCACCGGCUAACUCCGUGCCAGCAGCCGCGGUAAUACGGAGGGUGCAAGCGUUAAUCGGAAUUACUGGGCGUAAAGCGCGCGUAGGUGGCUUGAUAAGCCGGUUGUGAAAGCCCCGGGCUCAACCUGGGAACGGCAUCCGGAACUGUCAGGCUAGAGUGCAGGAGAGGAAGGUAGAAUUCCCGGUGUAGCGGUGAAAUGCGUAGAGAUCGGGAGGAAUACCAGUGGCGAAGGCGGCCUUCUGGACUGACACUGACACUGAGGUGCGAAAGCGUGGGUAGCAAACAGGAUUAGAUACCCUGGUAGUCCACGCCGUAAACGAUGUC
rnacentral:rRNA from 1 species